GGUCAAAGAACACGUUCCCAGAGUAACAAAUCGAAUAUUUAUGUGCUGUGCAUGGAAUGGUGGCGUCUGCUGGUUGAGCAUCUUCGUGUUCCACUACAUGCUUCUACCCUGUAUCUACUGGUUCACAGAGCUCAUCUCAGGUCAGUGAGGGGU